UGUAAGUAAUAACAAUGGUGGAUAUUGCGUAACAACUCUGCACUGCUUCAGAAUCAGAGUGUAAAAAAAUAUAUAAUGUUGGUCCAACUUUCUGUUUUUGACAUCAUCUUUGAGAAAGAGAGCAAAUCAAACAGUAGAUUAAAGGUUAAAGUCUCAGUCAAGUCCAAAAAGUUUGGUUUGAGGAACUGACGGAGAGCUUGGGGUUGAAUUACAAUAAUAAUUAAAAUCUUUAGAUGAAUCCUGUCUGGUUGUAACGUGAUUGUGCUUCAUGAAGCUGCAUCCCAUCAUCACUAGACCACCCAGCUGUUUUUGUAGCAGCAACAACAGUGAUGCUGCAUUCAAGUCAAAUUGGAAAAAAAGAA